UCUCCGUUGGUGAACCAGCGGAGGGAUCAUUACCGAGUUAUCAACUCCCAAACCCCUGUGAACAUACCCAACGUUGCUUUGGCGGGACCGCCCCGGCGCCCUCGGCGUCCCGGAACCAGGCGCCCGCCGGAGGACCCAAACUCUUGUUUAAACCAUAGUUGCAUAUUCUGAGUCUCACAAGAAAAAUGAAUCAAAACUUUCAACAACGGAUCUCUUGGCUCUG
rnacentral:misc_RNA from 1 species